rnacentral:rRNA from 1 species
CCUACGGGUGGCAGCAGUGGGGAAUAUUGGACAAUGGGGGCAACCCCGAUCCAGCCAUGCCGCGUGUGUGAAGAAGGCCCUCGGGUUGUAAAGCACUUUCAGUGAGGAAGAACGCCUGGUGGUUAAUACCCAUCAGGAAAGACAUCACUCACAGAAGAAGCACCGGCUAACUCCGUGCCAGCAGCCGCGGUAAUACGGAGGGUGCGAGCGUUAAUCGGAAUUACUGGGCGUAAAGCGCGCGUAGGUGGCUUGAUAAGCCGGUUGUGAAAGCCCCGGGCUCAACCUGGGAACGGCAUCCGGAACUGUCAAGCUAGAGUGCAGGAGAGGAAGGUAGAAUUCCCGGUGUAGCGGUGAAAUGCGUAGAGAUCGGGAGGAAUACCAGUGGCGAAGGCGGCCUUCUGGACUGACACUGACACUGAGGUGCGAAAGCGUGGGUAGCAAACAGGAUUAGAUACCCGUGUAGUC